rnacentral:rRNA from 1 species
ACGGAAGGCAGCAGUGAGGAAUAUUGGUCAAUGGACGGAAGUCUGAACCAGCCAAGUCGCGUGAAGGAUGAAGGUAUUAUGUAUUGUAAACUUCUUUAGCAGUGGAGUAAUAAGGGGAUCGCGAUCCCUGAUGCAAGUACACUGAGAAUAAGGAUCGGCUAACUCCGUGCCAGCAGCCGCGGUAAUACGGAGGAUGCGAGCGUUAUCCGGAUUUAUUGGGUUUAAAGGGUGCGUAGGCGGGACGUUAAGUCAGUGGUAAAAGCGUGUGGCUCAACCAUACCAAGCCAUUGAAACUGUCGUUCUUGAGUGUAAACGAGGUAGGCGGAAUGUGACGUGUAGCGGUGAAAUGCUUAGAUAUGUCACAGAACCCCGAUUGCGAAGGCAGCUUACCAGCAUACAACUGACGCUGAGGCACGAAAGCGUGGGUAUCAAACAGGAUUAGAUACCCUGGUA